rnacentral:rRNA from 1 species
GAUGAACGCUAGCGGCAGGCUUAAUACAUGCAAGUCGAGGGGCAGCACGGUUAGCAAUAACUGGUGGCGACCGGCGCACGGGUGCGUAACACGUAUACAAUCUACCUUAAACAGGGGGAUAGCCUUUCGAAAGAGAGAUUAAUACCCGUAAUAAAUUGAACGGCAUCGUUUGAUUUUGAAAGCUCCGGCGGUUUGAGAUGAGUAUGCGUCUGAUUAGCUAGUUGGUGAGGUAACGGCUCACCAAGGCGACGAUCAGUAGGGGAUCUGAGAGGACUAACCCCCACACUGGUACUGAGACACGGACCAGACUCCUACGGGAGGCAGCAGUAAGGAAUAUUGGUCAAUGGAGGCAACUCUGAACCAGCCAUGCCGCGUGCAGGAUGACGG